AUACAUAGGGUGCGAGCGUUAAUCGGAAUUACUGGGCGUAAAGCGUGCGCAGGCGGUUUUGUAAGACAGGCGUGAAAGUCCCCGGGCUCAACCGUGGGAACUGCGCUUGUGACUGCAAGGCUAGAGUAUGGCAGAGGGGGUGGAAUUCCACGUGUAGCAGUGAAAUGCGUAGAGAUGUGGAGGAACACCAAUGGCGAAGGCAGCCCCCUGGGCCAAUACUGACGCUCAUGCACGAAAGCGUGGGUAGC
rnacentral:rRNA from 1 species